rnacentral:misc_RNA from 1 species
AACAGAAUUCUCAGGAAUAUCGACUCAUCCUGAAAGAUCACAAUAUCCCCCUUUAAAUACCGUGCUUUGAAAUGAUAUACCAAAACCGUGUGAUAUAUAGCCAAAGAAUGUUUCGUCUCUUUAUAGUUCCGACACAAUGACCGCAGGUUUUGAUAAAGAUAGCGAUUUUUUAACCUGUUGUACUUUGAAAACGUUACGAAGUCAAGAAAGAUCAUACUUUUUUCAAUUAAAAAAAUAAUGACGUAUCUUUACAUGAGAGUUUUGCAUACAUAUCCCCUUUUUGUAUAUAUUUGAUGAUAAUACUUAUGUUGAUUUAUUAUAUCUCACAAAUAAUGAUUUGUAUUAAUCUACUUUCUUCAAAUAUUGUUCAAUGGCUUAGCCAGUUGUUUUUUUUCUCCAUAGUGCAUACUAGUAUAUUAAAUCUACCUCUGUACAGAGGGUAAUUCACAUG